CAUUUCUGCUUCUCUUUUUAUUUCCACUAUAUAUAGGAUGAACCCCACACUCAGUAAUUAACUCCACGGCAUCUGCAAUGGAGAACUGAAAUGAGGCCUCAAUGAAACACUCUUCAUCAACAUAGCCGAAUUUAUUAUCACUGAAAGAAAGCAAUACGUGUUCUGGUGAAUCCUUAAAAUCCAAAUCAUCAUCCUCAUCCAAACCCCCAUAGUAAUAUAAAAACAAAUCACGGCUAUGGCUGUAUCCAGAUUCAUCUAUGAAAUCCACUCUGCAUUUAAUGCUGUCUGGAUUACGAUAAUAUUCUGUGGGAUGAAGAACAACGCAGAAAGAAAAGGCAAUUAAGUGACGACGGUUAAGUCUGAAUGAAAGCGAGGAUCCACUUUUAUUCUUAUAACUCAUCCCUUCUGGCACUUCACCUCCUUCAAUAUAUAAUAUAACUUUCUGACCCAACAGAUGUGCUUUCAAUGCAUCCUCCAUAACUUUAUUCUUAUCCAGAUUAACGCAAUUACCAAAAUCAAGAAGUUUGCAAUCUUUAAAAAAAUCUUCUCUUUCACAUAUAUCCGCAUCUUCAUUUUCAUCUGCUGCUUCACUUUCAUCUGCUUCUUCACUUUCAUCUUCAUGUUCUAAGAAAAGGAAAGCAGUUGAUGCAGAUUCCAGAGAGAUGCAAUCUGUUGCAUGUAAGUAUUCUAAGCAUGAUGGAAG
rnacentral:misc_RNA from 1 species